UACAGAGGUCCCGAGCGUUGUUCGGAUUCACUGGGCGUAAAGGGUGCGUAGGUGGCAUGGCAAGUUUGAUGUGAAAGCUCAGGGCUUAACCCUGAAAUGGCAUUGAAUACUACUGUGCUGGAGGUUUGGAGGGGGGACUGGAAUUCUCGGUGUAGCUGUGAAAUGCGUAGAUAUCGAGAGGAACACCUGUGGCGAAGGCGAGUCCCUGGACAACACCUGACACUGAGGCACGAAAGCUAGGGGAGCAAACAG
rnacentral:rRNA from 1 species